AGUGAACGCUGGCGGUAGGCCUAACACAUGCAAGUCGAACGGCAGCACAGUAAGAUCUUGCUCUUACGGGUGGCGAGUGGCGGACGGGUGAGGAAUACAUCGGAAUCUACUUUUUCGUGGGGGAUAACGUAGGGAAACUUACGCUAAUACCGCAUACGACCUACGGGUGAAAGCAGGGGAUCUUCGGACCUUGCGCGAUUGAAUGAGCCGAUGUCGGAUUAGCUAGUUGGCGGGGUAAAGGCCCACCAAGGCGACGAUCCGUAGCUGGUCUGAGAGGAUGAUCAGCCACACUGGAACUGAGACACGGUCCAGACUCCUACGGGAGGCAGCAGUGGGGAAUAUUGGACAAUGGGCGCAAGCCUGAUCCAGCCAUACCGCGUGGGUGAAGAAGGCCUUCGGGUUGUAAAGCCCCUUUGUUGGGAAAGAAAAGCAGCAGGUUAAUACCCCGCUGUUCUGACGGUACCCAAAGAAUAAGCACCGGCUAACUUCGUG
rnacentral:rRNA from 1 species